GACGAACGCUGGCGGCGUGCCUAAUACAUGCAAGUCGUGCGGACCUUGUUGAAAGCUUGCUUUUAAAAGGUUAGCGGCGGACGGGUGAGUAACACGUGGGCAACCUGCCUGUAAGACUGGGAUAACGCCGGGAAACCGGGGCUAAUACCAGAUCGUUUUUUCCUCCGCAUGGAGGAAAAAGGAAAGGCGGCUUCGGCUGCCACUUACAGAUGGGCCCGCGGCGCAUUAGCUAGUUGGCGGGGUAAUGGCCCACCAAGGCAACGAUGCGUAGCCGACCUGAGUGGGUGGGCAGCCACAUUGGGACGGAGACACGGCCCAAACGGCUACGGGAGGCAGCAGUAGGGAAACGUCCGGAAGGAGCGAAAGUCUGACGGAGCAACGCCGCGGGAGGGAAGAAGGCCGUCGGGUCGUAAAACUCUGUUGCCGGGGAAGAAACAGUGCCGUUCGAACAGGGCGGCGCCUUGACGGUACCCGGCCAGAAAGCCACGGCUAACUACGUG
rnacentral:rRNA from 1 species